GCGCCCUUAGCUCAGUUGGAUAGAGCGUUGGCCUCCGGAGCCAAAGGUCAGAGGUUCGAAUCCUCUAGGGCGCGCCA
rnacentral:tRNA from 1 species